UUUUUUUUUAAUGAAUAAUGGAACACACCUGUGGUGAACUAAACACAGCCCAGGAAUAUAUUACCAAGUAGGAAGUACCUCUAAAGUCGUGAACACAUACAGCACAUCAAAAAUGGAGGACGACGAUGCCGUUUACAAUAUUCCAUCAACUCCGGGAGCUUUCAGGCUUCUGUGAGAUGUGUUCUUGAGCUUCAGAGGCGAAGACACACGCCACACCUUCACCAGCAACCUCUAGACCUCCCUCCACAACCAUGGCGUCCGAGUCUUCCGCGACGACGACGGGUUACGCCGUGGAGACGAGAUCGCCUCGAGUCUGCUCGAAGCAAUCGAGGACUCGGCAGCUUCCAUCGUCAUCAUCUCCCCUAAGUACGCGUCGUCGAAGUGGUGCCUCGAGGAACUUUCCAACUGCCGGAGGCUCAUACUCCCCGUGUUCUACCGAGUCGACCCGUCUGAUGUUCGGAGACAAAAAGGACCUUUCGAAGAACAUUUUAGGAAACAUGAAGAGAGGUUUGGGGAAGACAAGGUUUUGAAGUGGAGGAAAGCCAUGGAAACUGUUGGUGGAAGAGCUGGUUGGGUUUUCACCAACAGCGAAGAAGCACUAUUGGCUCUACUGUUGAUUCUUAAUACUUUCCAUUUGAUUGACAAUAGGGAACACAAUUUAUAGAAGGCAUUGUCCUAGACUUUGAGAAAAGAUUAGAAAAGCCUCUCAAAGAUCCAAGUGGUGAUACAAUUUUUUGGUAUAACCUUCAAACAAACCUCAAUUUCACCUCAGCAGUCACAUACUUAAAGGAAAGGUAUGAACGUUAUCUUGCAGAUCGAGCAGAGAGAGAGAGAGAGGUUGUAAUUUUCACCAAUUCCCUUAAAACCAUGGUCAAUCUUAGACUGCUCCAAAUAAAUAAUGUGAAUUUGGAAGGGAAGUUCAAAUAUCUUCCUGUUGAACUGAAGUGGCUACAAUGGAAAGGUUGCCCCAUGAAAAGUCUUCCUUCUGAUUUUUGUCCUCGCAAAGUUGCUGUACUUGAUUUAUCAGAAAGCAAAAUUGAACAAUUGUGGGGUUCGCACAAUAACAAGGUGCUUGAGAACUUGAUGGUUUUGAAUCUCCAUGGUUGCUUUAAUCUAGCUGCUGUUCCAGAUUUAUCCGGACAUCAAGCCUUGGAAAAAUUCCUGAUGAUUUUGAGAUGUUGUCAUCACUGGAGUUUUUGAAUCUAGGCCACAAUAAUUUUUACAGCCUUCCCUCCAGCCUGAGGGGCCUGUCCAUCCUCAAAAAACUUAUCUUGCACGAUUGUAAGGAGCUCAAGUCUCUCCCUCCACUGCCCUCAAGUUUGCUAGAGGUAAAUGUUGAAAAUUGUAUUGCAUUGGAAAAUAUAUCUGAUCUUUCAAACUUGGAAACCUUAGUGAUCUGAACCUUACUAAUUGUGAGAAAGUGAUGGACAUUCCUGGCCUUGAAUGCUUGAAGUCCUUGAGAAGGUUGUACCCGAGUGGUUGCAAUGUGUGCUAGCCAAUAGUAAAGAGAAGACUGUCUAAGGUUUCUUUGAGGAACAUGCGCAAUCUAAGUAUGCCUGGAAGCAAGAUUCCGAAUUGGUUUUCUCAGAAGGAGGUUAGAUUUACAAACCUUAGAAACUGUGAGAUCAAAUGUGUUAUUAUAGCUGUUGUCUCGCUCAAUCAGCAAGUAUCAGAUGACCUUAGAUAUCGUCUACCUGCAAUAGUGGACAUCCAGGCAGAGAUCCUUGAAUAAAAUAGUUAUGUAUACAAAACAACAUUGAACUUGAAUGGAGUCCCAAAGACGAAUGAAGAUCAAAUUCACUUGUGCCAAUACCCAUUUGAUCAUCCAAUUGUUUGGUCAUUGAAAGAUGGUUAUAAGAUACAAGUGAUAAUGAGAAACCCGCUAAUCAUGAAGGGUGUUGAGCUCAAGAAUUGGGGGGUUUAUUUGGUUUUUGAUGGUGAUGAUGAUUACGAGGGAGAUGAAGAAUCAUUGAAUGAAAGCCAACAAUCCAUAUUAGAAAGACUAGCAACGUUUUUCAACACUUUUGAAGAAGACGAUUGUGUCUCUAAAUCUGUUGGUGAAGUUGAGGAAAAAGUGGAAAAGAUUACAUUUUUGUGUACACCCUGUUUUUUGUCAAGAACCUGAUGUUGAAAAGUGGAAAAGAUUGAAGGAAGAGAACAGCAAAGAGCAAAUUCAUUUGACAAAUUUACUUUGUUUCUGCUUUCAUUGUUCUUUCUUUUGUCAUUCUGUGGAGUUGGUCACAAAUAUGGUGUUAACAGAGACGGUCUCUACAGUAGCUUUUUAUUUUAAUUCAAAGUCAACCUUGCAAAUGAGAACCUUAGCAGCUCCGAAGUUUGGGGAAUUUUGAAUUUUAUGCCUUGAAAUUUUAGAUUUUAUCUCUGAAGUUAUUGUAGAAUAUGGCUUGAAUCAGGAGUUCGACUCCUUGUUGGAUUUGGAUAAGGAAGGAAUUUUAUUCCUUUUGGGUUACUGUUGUUUGAAGUUAUCAAGCUCUAUUAGAAGUCUUGUUUACUACUUGAUUUGGAAUUCCAUUUGGAAUAGGAGUGAUUCUCCUUUUAUGUGUGGAAAAGAAGUCUAGUUCUUCUUGGUUUUGGAUAUACCAGCUGACUCAAGUCUCCUAUAUAAGCAUAGUGCUACUAUGGAAAAUUAGAGAAAGAGAGAAAGAUGGGAGUGUGUGAGAAAAAGGCUCUCUUCGUUUGGUAUUUUGCUAUUUGUACAUGGCAACUUGGAAUUGUGAGAGAGAGAGAGAGAGAGAUGAGAGGGUGUGAGAAAAAGAGGCUCUCUCUUGGUUUGGUUAUUUGAUAUUUGUGGGUUGUAAUUUGGAAUCGUGAGAGAGGCUUUGUUGCCGCUUGGUAUUGGUUCUGCGGUUUGGUGAUUUGCUUUCUUUUGAUGCAUUGCAACUUUUGGAUUUGAUUUGUGGCUUUCUCUUUAGUUUGUGCGCAAUUCAUAUUUGGUAUUUGAUAUUCGUAUUUGGUAUUUGUGAACCUUUGGUUCUUUGUUUCUUAUUUGGUUCUUUAGUUUUAUCUGUGAGAGAGAGUUACUUGGAUGUAUUUGGGAUUUGGGUUUGUGAGAGUGCAUCUACACCAAUUUGUAUUAUCUCAAAUUUGUUAUAGUGAAAUUUGUUUGUUGUCGCCCGUGGAUGUAGGCUAUUGCCGAACUACAUAAAUCUUGGUGUUUUGUGUCUA